rnacentral:rRNA from 1 species
GACGAACGCUGGCGGCGUGGAUUAGGCAUGCAAGUCGAACGGUAUCAUCCUUUCGGGGGUGAGAGAGUGGCGAACUGGUGAGUAACACGUAGGUUAUCUACCCUCAAGACGGGGACAACCCAGGGAAACUUGGGCUAAUACCGGAUGUGAGCAACUUUUAGUUGUUUGAAAGGUGGCGUAAGCUGUCGCUUGGGGAUGAGCCUGCGUCCUAUUAGUUAGUUGGUGAGGUAACGGCUCACCUAGGCAAUGAUAGGUAGGCGGCCUUAACGGGUGGUCGCCCACACUGGGAUUGAGAUACGGCCCAGACUCCUACGGGAGCAGCAGUCGAGAAUAGUCUACAAUGGUCGGAAGACUGAUAGUGCGACGCCGCGUGAACGAUGAAUCCCUUCGGGGUUAAAGUUCUUUUAUAUGUGAGCAGUGCUUCUUAUAUUAACAGUAUGGGGAAGAGAUAUUAGCAUAUGAAUAAGCAACGGCUAACUCCGUGCCAGCAGCCGCGGU